CAUCAGCCUUUUACAGGGGGGCUGUUGUCUGGAACACACGGAAGGUCAAGAAAGCGCACCGAAGCUCCCCGUCAUCCUUACCACGGGCACUCCCACACCCUACACUUCCAUCCUUUCUCCGAAAGAAGAGGAGACAGGCCUCUGAUCAGCCCCGAGGGAGGGGGUGAAGGCGAACACCCCACAAAGUGCACCGAGGGCAGUUAUCUGCAGACACGGCUUCGGGGGUGCAUACGCACAAAGACCCCCACAACGCAAACAAAAGCGAGCCCGUCGCGAUUCCCCGACCCGCCGAGUCCGGCGCAGCCCCGGGAGGCCCUUCCCGGCACUGCCCCGGAGGGCGCAGGGAGCCGGAGGGGGGAGAGCGGAGAAACUGUCCCUUUUACCACCCGGGCGCUGCCCCGGAGCUCACGGGGAGGCGAGGAAGCCCUCGGGGCUGUGCCGGGGGGCAAGGCGACGCAGGGUCCCCGGUGCCCCGCCGGACGGCGAGGCCGUCCAGGCAGCGGGGGUGGCACCGCCCGCAGCCGCCGGGAUAGGAGGGUCGGGGCUCCGAGUUCACCCUUUCCCCGUCCCCUCCCCUGCCCCCCGCGGGCACGGCAGCCAUGGCCCCUCGCCCGGCCUGCCGGGCCCCGCCGUCUCUCUCCUGGGGAGCCUCGGCGCUGCCGAGCAGCUGCCAUUACUCGGGCCAAGACCCGUCCUCCAAGCAGGCAUCCCCCUCCCCAGCGAGGAAAUGCGGCGGCGGCGGGGGUCUGGACCCUCUCUUGUUGCAGGGGGAAAAUGUGGUGCUUAUCCAGCCUUGAUACAUGGAAAUCUCUCCUAUCAUGAAGUCCAACUUGGAGAAAUGACAGAUAAUGGUUUUGAAAGUAGACACUCACCUUGAGCAAAAGAAACUAAACCAUAGAUAAUCAGCGGCUUGUCUCAGGGUUGUCAAUACCUUCUGAGCUGCAGAUCACAGAACCAUAGAAUCAUUUAGAUUGGAAAAGACCUUUAUGAUUAUUGAGUCCAACUGUUAGCCAUACUUGCACUGCAGGGUAGGGAAAUGAAUAUUAAUACAAAACAUGUAACUUUAUAGGAACAUAUAUAUUUAAAUAGCAAAAACAUGUACAUUUAUAUUUUUAUGGAGAUAAAAAUAUGAAAAUAUAUUCUAAAGUUUCUGAAAUUCUUCAGGAAUUAUUAAAUUAAUAAGUACCACACCACACAAUUAACUUGACUAGAAUUUUACUUUUAUUAAAAUAUGCCUUUAUUAAAAUAUACCGCAAGCUUAUUUCUAUAAACAUUUAUGCAUGCAAAAAAAUUCAGUCAUAUGAGUAGUAAUUAAUAUUACUAAAAUAGUAGAAGGAAAUAGUAGUGCUAAUGUUGAAAAAAGAUGCAUCCAUUGUGCCUGGUCAGACAAAGAUUAAACAGAGUUUGCACAAUGAGCAGUGAAAGUUUCUUCAAUGUGUCCAAAAAAUAAAAUUUAGUAGUGCCUAAACCCA
rnacentral:lncRNA from 1 species